rnacentral:lncRNA from 1 species
GAAGAAGGAGCCAGGAGAGCUCAAACCCUAGUUCAACAAAUCCUCCAAAUCGAAGCUCAAAUCAAGCCCGAAUCGUCUGCAUGAUUACAAAUUCGUGAUCGCCUAGUCGUGGGGAUCAUAAGUUGACUCUAAACAAGCUAGGUGGGAGCUUGAAAAGGAACGGGUCAAACGGAUCAUGGAUGCGAAGAAUGUUUGCGCGGACGCGAGGACACUUGCGUUUAAAGAUGACAAAGGUUAAACAAAUUAAAGAUGUGAUAGAGGAACAGUCCGAGGCAUGACGAGAGGAACAUGCUCACUAAGGACUAAAUCGCGUAAAGACCGCGAACAAGGUUAAUGGCAAGAAACGCCCGUCGGGGCAAGCAUUAUCAGGUGCGUGCUUUUAAAUAUAAUCGCGCAAUUAGCAAUGUGCAACAAACAUGUAAAGAAUGAUUGUCGCAUAUGUAAAUUAGAAACUUGGGAAACCUGAAUAGAAUACCUAUCCAGGAUAUUAUCUCCAAGAAAACUAAAUAGAGGUGUUACUUACAUGGGGUGUGAUGUGAAAACUAUAAAAAGGUCAUGUAUGUCAUGUGUUAAUCGCUUACUCUGGCCAAGUAAGUAGUGGCAUAUGAUACCAUGAGUUUCUUAUAGCGGACACAUUAUAUCUGAUGUAGUAAGGACGGGGUAAAUGGGACAAAUUAAAAAGUACCCAAAAGAAUCAAGUGAGCAAAAUAUUUGAUAAUAAUGUAAACGCACAGCCGAGUGACGGAAGCGUAUUACAUUAAGAUAAUGAGCCCGAGUGAAGGGACAAAGAAACACGUAAGAUGAUCAGAAUACGUAUCGGGAGGGGGGGUGUACUUACACUCGAACCCGGAAAAUGCAAAUAUGUAAAAUGAUGUAGACAUGUAUUAGGAGGGGUGUACUUACACUCGAACCCGGAAAAUGCAAAUAUGUAAAAUGAUGUAGACAUGUAUUGGGAGGGGGUGUACUUACACUCGAACCCGGAAAAUGCAAACAUGUAAAAUGAUGUAGACAUGUAUUGGGAGGGGGUGUACUUACACUCGAACCCGAAGAAUAUAAACAUGUAAAAUGAUCAAGAUAUGCAUUGGGAGGUAGUGUACUUACACUCGAACCCGAAGAAUGCAAAUAAGACUCUUAACGGGCCGAUUUUGUAAAACACCAAAUUUGAGAACAAAGUAGGAAUAUAAAAGCGAAACGAAGUCAUAAUGCAUACCGUAAGGGUUGCAAUAAUAACGACUUCGGUAAAACACCCGGUUGGUGGGUAAGGAUUUAAACACAUGCGUAGACUGAGAAACAGGAACGCGCAUGGAAAGUCAAAAGACUCGGGUUUUGGGUCAUGACCAAAGGACGAUAAGAUAACGGCAAAUAGAAAUUUUGAUGAAUUACGCUCAACUAUUUUAAAGUUGAACGGGUCGAACAAAAAUUGAAGUUUGACAUUUAUAAGUGAUGAAAUUUUCAGACGAACAAGUCAAACA